CCCAGAGGCCCCACACGGGCGUUUCCUCCCUGACUUGGGCCACCCUUCGGGGUGGCUUUUUUUUUGGCUCUAU
rnacentral:sRNA from 2 species